CUUGCCUACCCUCGGGGCAAAUUGCAGCCCUGGCUUUUCCCAGCAGCUGUGCCAGAUAACCCCGUUAUGGGCGGAGGGCAUCCAGGUUCUUGGUGUUUUGAACAAAGAAUUGGACAAAACACACAGAGCAACCAAAGAAGAGCACAGAUUUAUCAAAACAAAAGUACACUCCAUGGCUAGGAGCAAGCCAAAGAGGAUCCAUGGAGAGCACUGCCUACAGAAUUUUCUAGGCUUUAUACCGUCUGGAGGUUUCCCAUUGGUCACCUGGUUCACACCCUAUGCAAAUGAAGUAGGGGCCUGCCACCAGUCUGAUUGGUUGUGGAGGGUGGCCAAUCAGAGGCUGAAGUGAAGUCACAAAGCUACACACGAAGACUUGGUUUAUGAACAGUCUGACUGACUGCAGGAGGGGACACUUUCAUUUUUCAUCUGCAAAGCAGAAAAGUAGGGCUUGGAAAGGGAGUAGCCACUGAACUUUUGGUAUUUGUGUGGAGAGAUGGGGACUUUCCUUUUCAUUUAGUUAUAGGAAUUCAGUGAGAAUGAGCCUUAGGUUCUCUGCCCCCAGCCCCUACUCUCCCUGCCUCAACGCUGCUCUCUCCUGGGGAUCCUAAGCCUGAGUCCCGCCUGCACCUGGAUGUUGAUUCCAUAGUCACCUCAGGCACAGGCCUGGCCUAAGCCCCCCAGAACACAGCCGAGUUGCAGGCGGUGCAGAUGACAGCACACCGGCUUGUUGCCCAGACACGGAAAUGCCACUCAUAUUUCACAGCCAAACAUGGUGCUCACAGUGGGCUUCUGGAAAACACCCUCUAUCAGGAAAGCUUCUGCGUUGCACGUAAUAGAGACCAGCUCUGGCUGAUUAAAUUGGAAAAGACCUUUGCCGACAGUGUUGGAGGGCUCACAGGUGGCUGGGAGGGUCCAGACUUGAGAACUGGGCAGAAGCAAAGAGCAACCACAUGGCCAGGACAGCAGAAUCAGCCAGUCCUG